GUAGAGUGUGUAGAAGAUGUUGGGGUUGGCAAAAAUUCUGAGGUUUUCAGCCUGAAAAUCUCUUAUCACAGCUUCUUUUCCAAAGGUCUUAUGAUAAGAUGGUAAAUGGUUCUGAACUAGAAGCGAUAUGUUGUUAAGGAGAUUGGUUUUCUUAACAAGAUCAAGACCUAGCUAGCUGCUGUAAAAUCUGGAAACCAAAUGAACACAGUAGAUUGUUUUAGCUGAGAUUUCCAUGUAAAAAGGGAUGAAAGAAGAAAACUACCUGCCCUCCUUU